rnacentral:rRNA from 1 species
AUGCCGUAAACCGAUGAUUACUAGGUGUUGGAGGAUUGACCCCUUCAGUGCCGCAGUUAACACAAUAAGUAAUCCACCUGGGGAGUACGACCGCAAGGUUGAAACUCAAAGGAAUUGACGGGGGCCCGCACAAGCAGUGGAGUAUGUGGUUUAAUUCGAAGCAACGCGAAGAACCUUACCAGGUCUUGACAUCCGAUGCAUAGUGCAGAGAUGCAUGAAGUCCUUCGGGACAUCGAGACAGGUGGUGCAUGGUUGUCGUCAGCUCGUGUCGUGAGAUGUUGGGUUAAGUCCCGCAACGAGCGCAACCCUUAUUGCCAGUUACUACGCAAGAGGACUCUGGCGAGACUGCCGUUGACAAAACGGAGGAAGGUGGGGAUGACGUCAAAUCAUCAUGCCCUUUAUGACCUGGGCUAUACACGUACUACAAUGGCGUUUAACAAAGAGAAGCAAGACCGCGAGGUGGAGCAAAACUCAAAAACAACGUCUCAGUUCAGAUUGCAGGCUGCAACUCGCCUGCAUGAAGUCGGAAUUGCUAGUAAUCGCGGAUCAGCAUGCCGCGGUGAAUACGUUCCCGGGCCUUGUACACACCGCCCGUCACACCAUGAGAGCCGGGGGGACCCGAAGUCGGUAGUCUAACCGACAAGGAGGACGCCGCCGAAGGUA